AACGAACGCUGGCGGCAGGCCUAACACAUGCAAGUCGAGCGAGGUAGCAAUACCUAGCGGCGGACGGGUUAGUAACGCGUGGGAACGUGCCCAAAGGUACGGAAUAGCCUCGGGAAACUGAGAGUAAUACCGUAUGUGCCCUUCGGGGGAAAGAUUUAUCGCCUUUGGAUCGGCCCGCGUUGGAUUAGGUAGUUGGUGGGGUAAUGGCCUACCAAGCCGACGAUCCAUAGCUGGUUUGAGAGGAUGAUCAGCAACACUGGGACUGAGACACGGCCCAGACUCCUACGGGAGGCAGCAGUGGGGAAUCUUAGACAAUGGGGGAAACCCUGAUCUAGCCAUGCCGCGUGAGCGAUGAAGGCCUUAGGGUUGUAAACUUCUUUUAUAGGGGACGAAAAAAGGGAAUUCCUUCCCACCUUGACGGUACCCUAGGAAUAAGCACCGGCUAACUACGUGCCAGCAGCCGCGGUAAGGUGACGCUCU
rnacentral:rRNA from 1 species